GACGAACGCUGGCGGCGUGCCUAAUACAUGCAAGUCGAACGCACUCUCGUUUAGAUUGAAGGAGCUUGCUCCUGAUUGAUAAACAUUUGAGUGAGUGGCGGACGGGUGAGUAACACGUGGGUAACCUGCCCUAAAGUGGGGGAUAACACUUGGAAACAGAUGCUAAUACCGCAUAAAACCUAACACCGCAUGGUGUAGGUUGAAAGAUGGUUUCGGCUAUCACUUUAGGAUGGACCCGCGGUGCAUUAGUUAGUUGGUGAGGUAAAGGCUCACCAAGACCGUGAUGCAUAGCCGACCUGAGAGGGUAAUCGGCCACACUGGGACUGAGACACGGCCCAGACUCCUACGGGAGGCAGCAGUAGGGAAUCUUCCACAAUGGACGAAAGUCUGAUGGAGCAACGCCGCGUGAGUGAAGAAGGUUUUCGGAUCGUAAAACUCUGUUGUUGGAGAAGAAUGUAUCUGAUAGUAACUGAUCAGGUAGUGACGGUAUCCAACCAG
rnacentral:rRNA from 1 species